UUCUUCAUCUUACGAAAGGAGUUUACAGCAAUCGUCGUAUCGCUCUGACCUCGAUGAAAAUACUAUAUGUGUCAAGUUCAAAGGCAGGGAUAUUGAAGUGGUUCGCUCGACAUUCGGCGAUCCUAAUCCUAUUAGUGUACCGAAGACAUGUACCCUUCUAGGCCAUCCUACACCUCGUGGUAUUCCGACUCUCGCUAAUAAACGAAAUGAAAAUUUUCAAACCCUUCCUGUUUACAAUUCUGUGUGGCAUAUUUAACAGAAUCUGGAGAAAUUUUGGGAGUUAAGGCUCCACCAACUGAUCAGGAGGCGGAACGUCACGAAUAUAACGGUGACCCAAGCCUUCUCAAUCCUAACGCAUCAAAAUCUUAUAUCACUUACAUGGGCUUCGACUUCGAGGUGAGACAUUUUCCUUGGAAUGUCAACAUACCGACGGAUGUAAAGCACUUCCCUUACAAUAAAAAUAAUGAAGAAUAUACGUUACAUUAUAUUAACAUAUUUGGGGUUAAACCCAUAAUGAUGAAGUUUGGAGUCAUGCGAUUUUUUGGGAUAUGUAGAACUAGAGACCCUCAUUAUCCUGGUGAACACAUUGUGUGUGAAUCAGCUCAUCCUUUUUUCCGGGAUAUUCCCGUGCUGCUCAUCAACCACCUCCCUGAACAACUGGUGUCAGAGCUGCGAGCCUUCGAGCAGAACUGACCAGGAUAAGCAAUUCAAAUAAGCAGGAAACCUCAACAGCAACUCUCUAGGAAUCUCGAGACGCGAGUAAAGAAUAGAGUCGAAUCGUUCUCCAGUUGAACCACGAGGGUGAAGCUGGCAU